AUUAUUAUUAAUGUAGAUUAAUAAUCUAUUAUUAAUAGAUUUGCAUUAUUAAUCAAAAUAACGUAACGAUUAAAAUACAAAAUAGAACAGAAGAGCUAAAUGAAAUGCAGCCAUCUACAGCCCAGCCCCAAUUCCCAGAGGCAGCUACUCUUAACUCAUCUUUGUGGUUUAGUUCCCUUGAUUUAAUUAAAUAACAUGUUUAUUAAUUUUACCUAUUAUUUACUACAUUAAAUAACCUCUAUUGGCUUCCUGCUAAAAUGCAUGCUAAUUUAUAUAACAUACAAUACCCUAAUUCUCUUUACUGCCUCCUCCUAGAAUGUUGACAGCUAUAUUAUAACGUAAGCUGCUGCAACGUAUUUCUGCAAUAUCCAUUGUUUCAUACGAUGUUGGUACUUAGAGGAAUAAGGUUAGUGUUAAUAUGGAAAUUGUUCAUACUUAUUUUUUCUCCAUAGGAAGGGGGAGGUAGAAAAGCAGGAGGAGAACCAUAACAAGAGAAAAAAGCGCUCCAGUCUCCGCUAUACCGGCAGGAAGCACUUUCAGCUCCAGUUUUAAGAAAAUUAAUUUUGAACACCUGGAGCAGGAUGGGUUGCAAGCUGUGAGGAAUGGCCUUUCUCUGUUGCCCAACUGGCAUCAUUGGUCACUGGGAACCAGUGCAUCAACCUCUUAACAAAAUAGAUUGAUAAAAGAAGCCUCCCGGAUGUGAGAAAUCUGCUUUAGCAAAUAUGUUCUAUAUAUAUUUGAGACACAUAAUUGCAAACAUCCAAUAGCAUAACAACAAUUAACUAGAUACAUACAUUUUGGAAGGAGAAAAGACAUUGAAUA
rnacentral:lncRNA from 1 species